CCCGUUCCCAUCCCGAACACGGUAGUUAAGCUUCUCUGCGCCAAUGGUAGUUGGGGGUUUCCCCCUGCGAGAGUAGGGCGCUGCCGGGC
rnacentral:rRNA from 1 species